CAGUAGCCGCGGUAAUACAGAGGGUGCGAGCGUUAAUCGGAUUUACUGGGCGUAAAGCGUGCGUAGGCGGCUUCUUAAGUCGGAUGUGAAAUCCCUGAGCUUAACUUAGGAAUUGCAUUCGAUACUGGGAAGCUAGAGUAUGGGAGAGGAUGGUAGAAUUCCAGGUGUAGCGGUGAAAUGCGUAGAGAUCUGGAGGAAUACCGAUGGCGAAGGCAGCCAUCUGGCCUAAUACUGACGCUGAGGUACGAAAGCAUGGGGAGCAAACAGGAUUAGAGACCCCGGUAGUCCCUGUCUCUUAUAC
rnacentral:rRNA from 1 species